CCUACGGGGGGCAGCAGUGGGGAAUAUUGGGCAAUGGGCGCAAGCCUGACCCAGCAAUGCCGCGUGAAGGAAGAAGGCUUUCGGGUUGUAAACUUCUUUGACAGGGGACGAGCAGAAGACGGUACCCUGAAAACAAGCCACGGCUAACUACGUGCAAGCAGCCGCGGUAAUACGUAGGUGGCAAGCGUUGUCCGGAUUUACUGGGUGUAAAGGGCGUGUAGCCGGGAAGGUAAGUCAGAUGUGAAAUCCGGAGGCUUAACCUCCGAAUUGCAUUUGAAACUAUUUGUCUUGAGUACUAGAGAGGAAGACGGAAUACCUUGUGUAGCGGUGAAAUGCGUAGAUAUAAGGUGGAACACCAGUGGCGAAGGCGGUCUGCUGGACAGAAACUGACGGUGAGGCGCGAAAGCAUGGGGAGCAAACAGGAUUAGAUACCCGUGUAGUC
rnacentral:rRNA from 1 species